rnacentral:rRNA from 1 species
GACGAACGCUGGCGGCGUGCUUAACACAUGCAAGUCGAACGGAAAGGCCCUGCUUUUGUGGGGGGCUCGAGUGGCGAACGGGUGAGUAACACGGGAGUAACCUGCCCUUGACUUUGGGGUAACUUCAGGAAACUGAGGCUAAUACCGGAUAGGAGCUCCUGCUGCAUGGUGGGGGUUGGAAAGGUUCGGCGGUUGGGGAUGGACUCGGGGGUUAUCAGGUUGUUGGUGGGGUAGUGGGUUACCAAGGCUUUGACGGGUAGCCGGCCUGGGAGGGGGACCGGCCACAUUGGGACUUGAGUACGGCCCAAGCUCCUACGGGGGGCAGCAGUGGGGAAUAUUGCACAAUGGGCGGAAGCCUGAUGCAGCAACGCCGCGUGCGGGAUGACGGCCUUCGGGUUGUAAACCGCUUUCGCCUGUGACGAAGCGUGAGUGACGGUAAUGGGUAAAGAAGCACCGGCUAACUACGUG